rnacentral:tRNA from 1 species
AGAGUAGCUCAGUUGGUAGAGCGUCAGCCUUCCAAGCUGAUGGUCGCCGGUUCGAACCCGGUCUC